ensembl:lncRNA
AACGAGCUCACAAAGAGCACGCGCAUUUUUUGCGGUCCGGAGCUGUAGGAGAAACACAAAUUAACUCGGAGACACAGACUGAUGCGACAAAACCAACAUGGCUGGUAAGGACAUGAGGAGGAAACAGUAGGAGCUGUGUGAGGCUACUAAAGGCAGUGGAUCCCUCAGCAGCUGGAUUACAAAGAGCACAGUCUCAGAUCAACACAGCCCUGCCCUCCAACACUAUCAGCAGCAGGAGCAGCAGCAACCCCUCAACAGCAACAUUGUACCCAUCAGCUUUGAGCACCCGCCCCUAUAAACGUCUCUGCACGGCCCUGUAGAGCACAGAUUUUAAGCUGGCGAGGUGUGAUUGUGAUGCUGCGCAGCUGCGUCCGCCUUCCCUGCUGCGGCACGCUGUACUGUAAUAACUAUUUCUCAAGAUCACUUAAAAAAAUUACAAUAAUAUCUGACUUCUUGGAAGCAAAAUAUAAAGAAAUUAACAUUCAGACAAAACUACUUUACCUUGUAGUAUUCACCAUAAAGUUUUGAGAUCAGACCAAUGAAAGGGAAUCCCAUGAUGGUCACCAGUGUGAGCUUCCAGGACAUGCCACACAUGAAGAUGAAGAAGCCAACGCCCUUAAGAACGUUCUCCAGGAAGACAUUGACGUUCUGGGAGAUGAGGUCGCUCACCUGGGUGGUGUCAGCAGACAGGCG